rnacentral:rRNA from 1 species
AACGCUAGCUACAGGCUUAACACAUGCAAGUCGAGGGGCAGCGGAGAGGAAAGCUUGCUUUUCUCUGCCGGCGACCGGCGCACGGGUGAGUAACACGUAUGCAACCUGCCUCUGUCCGGGGGAUAAUCGGAGGAAACCCCGUCUAAUACCGCGUAAAUCGCCGUGGGGCAUCCCGGGGCGAGGAAAGGUCGCAAGACCGGACAGAGAUGGGCAUGCGGCGCAUUAGGUAGUUGGGGGUGUAACGGACCACCAAGCCGACGAUGCGUAGGGGUUCUGAGAGGAAGGUCCCCCACACUGGUACUGAGACACGGACCAGACUCCUACGGGAGGCAGCAGUGAGGAAUAUAGGUCAAUGGGCGAGAGCCUGAACCAGCCAAGUCGCGUGGAGGAAGAAGGUGCUAAGCAUUGUAAACUCCUUUUGCCGGGGAACAAAAGCCCUCACGAGUGGGGGUGUGAGUGUACCCGGAGAAAAAGCAUCGGCUAACUCCGUGCCAGCAGCCGCGGUAAUACGGAGGAUGCGAGCGUUAUCCGGAUUUAUUGGGUUUAAAGGGUGCGCAGGCGGCGCGUCAAGUCAGCGGUAAAAUGUCGGGGCUCAACCCCGGCCGGCCGUUGAAACUGGAGGGCUUGAGUAUGUUUGGGGCAGGCGGAAUGUGUGGUGUAGCGGUGAAAUGCAUAGAUAUCACGAAGAACUCCGAUUG